rnacentral:rRNA from 1 species
GAUGAACGCGGCGGCGUGCGUAACACAUGCAAGUUGAACGACGGUGCCAUGAAGUGGUAACACGGAGUGGUAUACGGAGUAGCGGACGGGUGAGUAAAGCAUGAGAAUCUGUCCUGUCGAGGGGGAUAACGUUCGGAAACGGACCCUAAUACCCCAUAGUCCGAGAGGUUAAAGGCAGCGAUGCGCGGCAGGAGGAGCUCGUGUCCUAUCAGCUAGUUGGUGAGGUAACGGCUCACCAAGGCUUCGACGGGUAGCCGGCCUGAGAGGGUGACCGGCCACACUGGAACUGAGAAACGGUCCAGACUCCUACGGGAGGCAGCAGUGGGGAAUAUUGGGCAAUGGGAGGAAUCCUGACCCAGCGACGCCGCGUGAAACGAAAGACGGCCU